rnacentral:lncRNA from 10 species
CACCCAGGCUGGAGCACAGUAAUGCAAUCUCGGAUCACUGUACCCUCCACCUCCUGGACUCAAGCCAUCUUCCACCUCAGCCUCCUGAGUAGCUGGGACUACAGGCGCACAUCACUAUGCCUGCUAAUUUUUGUAGAGACGGGGUUUCACCACAUUACCCAGGCUGGUCUCGAACUCCUGAGCUCAAGCGAUCCACCUGCCUCAGCCUCCCAAGUACUAGGAUUACAGGCAUAAGCCAGCACAACCGGCCUAAAAUUUUCUAGAAAAGUAGAUCUUAUGUUACUUCUUACCACAAAUAGUAACAGUGGGGGUAGGAGGAAACUUUGGGAGGUAAUAGAUAUGUCUAUGGCCUUGAUGGUGGUGAUGGUUUCACAGGUGUAUACUUAACACCAAAUUCAUCAAAUUGUAUACAUUAAGUAUGUACAGCUUUUUACAUGUCAAUCAUACCUCAGUAAAGUGGGCUUAAAAAUGCAUAGUAAAGAACACAAAGUCUUAAGAAUAACAUUUAUAAAUACUGACCCAUUUUUACAUAUUCAAAAAAUAGCAUGAGAACACAUGGAGAAGAUAAAACAUAAAAAAC